GAUGAACGCUGGCGGCGUGCCUAAUACAUGCAAGUCGAGCGAACGGACGAGAAGCUUGCUUCUCUGAUGUUAGCGGCGGACGGGUGAGUAACACGUGGAUAACCUACUUAUAAGACUGGGUUAACUUCGGGAAACCGGAGCUAAUACCGGAUAAUAUUUUGAACCGCAUGGUUCAAAAGUGAAAGACGGUCUUGCUGUCACUUAUAGAUGGAUCCGCGCUGCAUUAGCUAGUUGGUAAGGUAACGGCUUACCAAGGCAACGAUGCAUAGCCGACCUGAGAGGGUGAUCGGCCACACUGGAACUGAGACACGGUCCAGACUCCUACGGGAGGCAGCAGUAGGGAAUCUUCCGCAAUGGGCGAAAGCCUGACGGAGCAACGCCGCGUGAGUGAUGAAGGUCUUCGGAUCGUAAAACUCUGUUAUUAGGGAAGAACAUAUGUGUAAGUAACUGUGCACAUCUUGACGGUACCUAAUCAGAAAGCCACGGCUAACUACGUG
rnacentral:rRNA from 1 species